GAAUUGCAGGACACAUUGAACAUCGAUAUCUUGAACGCAUAUUGCGGGCCUCGGGCAAUCCCGAGGCCAAGCCUGUCUCAGGGUCGGUUGAAUUACAAUCGUGGGUUGCACUCUGCCCGCGCAUUGGGCCGUCUCGGACGACGCUGGACGACGAUCGAUCGGUUGCACUCUGCCGAUUGUCGUCGCCGUCGACGCCCGAGUCGCCUUAAGUUUAGACGUGCGGUCGCUCGUUGGAUGUCAGCUGUCGCGGUCAAUAGCGGCAGCGAUCGUCGGACGGGACGGAGACUCGGUACUCGUUGAGCCAUCCGUCUCCCGUCGUCGACGAUGCAUCCGAGGGGCGCCUGACCGCAUCGGAACUGGA
rnacentral:misc_RNA from 1 species